UACGAGGGGGGCGAGCGUUGUUCGGAAUUACUGGGCGUAAAGCGUGCGUAGGCGGUGACUUAAGUCUGUUGUGAAAUCCCCGGGCUCAACCUGGGAAUGGCAAUGGAUACUGGGUCGCUAGAGUGUGAUAGAGGAUGGUGGAAUUCCCGGUGUAGCGGUGAAAUGCGUAGAGAUCGGGAGGAACAUCAGUGGCGAAGGCGGCCAUCUGGAUCAACACUGACGCUGAGGCACGAAAGCGUGGGGAGCAAACAGG
rnacentral:rRNA from 1 species